AUUUGCUUUGGACGGCCCUGGCCACAGAGGCGCACGGUAAUCGUCAGGUGUUAAUUAGGUUUGUACCUGCAGGUGGUGUUUGUCACUGCAGAGAACACGUGUGUUACCCGACCGUCACUUCACUAGACAAACAAAAACAUCAAUGUUUUUACAACUUUUCAAAAAGGAAAGGGGCGUUUUUUUCUAAUCAAAUGGAUGUCGCGUCUUAUUUCUCCCGUGGAUUUAAAUGGAUCUUUCGCAACCUUUAACUUGGAAAAAGCACCAGGCCAGGACUCGCUAACCUGACUCGCCCCAACCGUGCUCUACAAGAACAUCAACGAUCGCAUCAGGAUUCACAUUUCAAACCCAGCGACGUCUGACAGUUUUAACAUUAAGAAGAUCUCCAAAAAAAUUUUGUGAGGUGGUCGCUGCUGAUGCUGUGGAGGAACAUCUAUGCAUGAGUAUGUACAGAGAUGCUGGAGAGGUCAUUUCUGAUGAUCUCGUUGACUGUGGAAAGAAAAGAGAACAUUGAUCAAGUUCAGG